ACGGACAAGUAUGGACCAGUAUAAACCAGUACGGACCAGUACGAAUCAGUACAGACCACUAUGGACCCGUAUAAACCAGGACGGACCAGAACAGACCAGUCCAUCCCAGUCCGUCCCAGUUCCCUCCCAGUCCCUCCCAGUUCCUCCCAGUCCCUCCCAGUUCCUCCCAGUCCCUCUCAGUCCCAUCCCAGUCCCUCCCAGUCCCUCCCAUUCCCUCCCAGUCCAUCCCAGUUCCUCCCAGUUCCCACCAGUCCCAUCCCAGUCCAUCCCAGUCCCCCCCAGUUCCUCCCAGUUGCUCCCAGUUCCCACCUGCUCGUGCACGGCGCUGCCCAUGACGCUGAACACGCCUCCCAGUUCCCUCAUGCUCUUCCCAGUCCCUCCCAGUCCCAUCCCAGUCCCUCCCAGUCCCUCCCAGUUGCUCCCAGUUCCCACCUGCUCGUGCACGGCGCUGCCCAUGACGCUGAACACGC
rnacentral:lncRNA from 1 species